ACUUCUAUAAUUAGCUAUUUAGUUCCUGGGAUUUUUUGGGGGGUUGGGUUUUUUGUGUGUGUAUUUUUGUUUGGUUUGGUUUGGUUUGGUUUUGCUUUACAUGAUUCCAUCAUUCUGUGCAAAUUCCCUUCUCUUUUCAUCUCACAGGUUUUGUGUACACUUCAAUCUUGAGAUCAAGGACUUCUUCAAGGAACCCUAUGAAUGGUAUUUAGAAACUAAGAGCUGGUUGACUUGGAUCACUAGUACACAGUGGAAAGUAGCAGUGAUGGUUGACACUGAGUUUGACAGAGGUUAGAAAUGCUAAUCCAAUAGCAGAAGAAAUACUACAGAGCCACAUCGUGCAGUUGAGUCUCCUUUUCUAAAAAAUUUCCGCUACCUUCAUUCAACAGACUUUUCCUUUUUCUUCCUUUACUGUUGUUUUCAAACAUAAUAGUAGGUAAAAAGUUUCUUCCUUCUCUCUAGGAUUGUGAUAUAUUCAGUAAUCUCUGCAGCAGUUGUAAAUGAUGAAGGUAAAACACUGGAAGAAUAUUUUAAAUGUAAAUUAUAAAUAUGUAGUCCUUACAGAAACACAAUCCCAAAUGAAUUCAUGAACAAUGAAAGUAAACUACACAGUAACUUCCAUAAUAUACAUUUUGCUGCAUUACACAGUGAAAAAAGAAUUGAUACCAUUUGUAAUAUUUCUCAGACUAUUUUUAUAUGUCUCCUAAAAAUGCUGUUACGAAUUUGCUUGUUGCUUUGAAGGUCAUGAAGGUCAUUGUGUGAAAUCUGUCAAGAUAACAGUAUCUAAUUCCCUACUCUGAAUAUAGAAGGCUCUAAAUGAGACAUUUUUAUAGGAAAAUGACCUUCAAACCCUUAAAUCUUUUCCUCAUAUCUAAGGAGGCUUCUCCUUCCUCAAUUUACAUUGAAAAUAAUUAAAUAAAGAGCACAGUAUUCUAAAACCACUUUUUCUUACAAGUCUAGGCAUUCACUAUGGUCUUUAUUCAGUCGGACCAUGUGCACAUGGCUGUAUCUUGAGGCAUAAACCCCAAGCUGAAACUCUGAUUUCAACUUUGACCUUCAAAAUUCAGUAUGUUAAUUGAGAAUGUAAAAAAUAAGUAAGUAGAAUAAAAAAAUCACUUGCAUUAUAAAAGCUUUUAAUGUCUGCUGCUUCCCAAAACACUUAAAAGCACUAGCAUUUGGCAAAAGUGUGUUUUAGCAGAAAUUUUGUCAGACACCUCCCUAUUGGAAGUUGAGGAACUAAGUAGGUGUAUAGUGUGUCCUCUGACAUUAAACCUAUGGUCCAAAGUUAGUCAUGCACAAAAUUGCUAUUAAUGAUUGAGGACAGCCUUGCAAGACAGUUCAGUUCAUGAUACGUACUGAAAUCCAUGUGCUCACUGUACUUUCCUUGAUGAGAGAUGUUAAUAAAAUUAACACAUUUUAGACAUAUUCAAUUAUCAUUUUUGCUACCAUAAUAAUACAUGGAGAUGCUACAAGCAAAAAAAUUGAGUCCAAUGUAUUUCAUAAACUUAUAGUACUGUUAGAACUUUUAAAAUUAAGAAUGAGAAAAAAGUAUUCAGAAAUAGAUCUAUUAUAAUACUGAAAGCUUUAAGUCUUUCAGUUGUUGUUUUAUCUUCUUG
rnacentral:lncRNA from 1 species